UGGACAAGUAUGUCUAUGGUGGUGAGAUUAAGGCCUUCUGAAUUAAUAAAAUUUUUCUGACUUCCACAAGUCUAUAGAGCUGCAAGGUGAAGUGUCAUAGGGUCUUGCGCAUGAUCAUUUUCUGCUAGCAAGGAUAGAGGGGCAGGAGGAACAACUAGUUCUUUCCUUGAAAAUAUUUGCCAAGAGUCAAGAGAAUUACCUUCCUGGUCUUUCUGUUGAAAGCAAAACUACUAAUGUAGACCCAGGAGAUGCUGGCAACAAAGAAAUGAGAAUAAAUCUGGACUAAGUGGCCUGUGAAUGAUCUCUGAUGCAUUUCUAUCACUUGAGCUUAAGUAUUAUUCAAGCAACGUAGGAAGAUUUGAUUGAGAUCUCCUGGGCAUUAAAUAUGCCUAUAGAUAUAAAUCUGUUUUAUAAUUUUCCCUUAAAAG